rnacentral:rRNA from 1 species
GAUGAACGCUAGCGACAGGCUUAACACAUGCAAGUCGAGGGGCAUCAUGAGGUAGCAAUACCUUGAUGGCGACCGGCGCACGGGUGAGUAACGCGUAUGCAACCUGCCCGAUACCGGGGUAUAGCCCAUGGAAACGUGGAUUAACACCCCAUAGUACUUUUAUCCUGCAUGGGAUGUGAGUUAAAUGUUUAAGGUAUCGGAUGGGCAUGCGUCCUAUUAGUUAGUUGGCGGGGUAACAGCCCACCAAGACGAUGAUAGGUAGGGGUUCUGAGAGGAAGGUCCCCCACAUUGGAACUGAGACACGGUCCAAACUCCUACGGGAGGCAGCAGUGAGGAAUAUUGGUCAAUGGACGUAAGUCUGAACCAGCCAAGUCGCGUGAGGGAAGACUGCCCUAUGGGUUGUAAACCUCUUUUAUAAGGGAAGGAAUAAGUUCUACGUGUAGAAUGAUGCCUGUACCUUAUGAAUAAGCAUCGGCUAACUCCGUGCCAGCAGCCGCGGUAAUACGGAGGAUGCGAGCGGUUAUCCGGAUUUAUUGGGUUUAAAGGGUGCGUAGGCGGUUUAUUAAGUUAGUGGUUAAAUAUUUGAGCUAAACUCAAUUGUGCCAUUAAUACUGGUAAACUGGAGUACAGACGAGGUAGGGCGGAAUAAGUUAAGUAGCGGUGAAAUGCAUAGAUAUAACUUAGAACUCCGAUAGCGAAGGCAGCUUACCAGACUGUAACUGACGCUGAUGCACGAGAGCGUGGGUAGCGAACAGGAUUAGAUACCCUGGUAGUCCACGCCGUAAACGAUGCUCACUGGUUCUGUGCGAUAUAUUGUACGGGAUUAAGCGAAAGUAUUAAGUGAGCCACCUGGGGAGUACGUCGGCAACGAUGAAACUCAAAGGAAUUGACGGGGGCCCGCACAAGCGGAGGAACAUGUGGUUUAAUUCGAUGAUACGCGAGGAACCUUACCUGGGUUUAAAUGGGAAAUGUCGUAUUUGGAAACAGAUAUUCUCUUCGGAGCGUUUUUCAAGGUGCUGCAUGGUUGUCGUCAGCUCGUGCCGUGAGGUGUCGGGUUAAGUCCCAUAACGAGCGCAACCCUUACCGUUAGUUGCUAGCAUGUAAUGAUGAGCACUCUAACGGGACUGCCACCGUAAGGUGAGAGGAAGGCGGGGAUGACGUCAAAUCAGCACGGCCCUUACACCCAGGGCUACACACGUGUUACAAUGGCCGGUACAGAGGGCCGCUACCAGGUGACUGGAUGCCAAUCUCAAAAGCCGGUCGUAGUUCGGAUUGGAGUCUGUAACCCGACUCCAUGAAGUUGGAUUCGCUAGUAAUCGCGCAUCAGCCAUGGCGCGGUGAAUACGUUCCCGGGCCU